AGUGAACGCUGGCGGUAGGCCUAACACAUGCAAGUCGAACGGCAGCACAGUAAGAGCUUGCUCUUACGGGUGGCGAGUGGCGGACGGGUGAGGAAUACAUCGGACUCUACUUUUUCGUGGGGGAUCACGUAGGGAAACUUACGCUAAUACCGCAUACGACCUACGGGUGAAAGCGGGGGAUCUUCGGACCUUGCGCGAUUGAAUGAGCCGAUGUCGGAUUAGCUAGUUGGCGGGGUAAAGGCCCACCAAGUCGACGAUCCGUAGCUGGUCUGAGAGGAUGAUCAGCCACACGGGAACGGAGACAGGGUCCAGACUCCUACGGGAGGCAGCAGUGGGGAAUAGUGGACAAUGGGCGCAAGCCUGAUCCAGCCAGACCGCGUGGGUGAAGAAGGCCUUCGGGUUGUAAAGCCCUUUUGUUGGGAAAGAAAAGCAGCAGGUUAAUACCCCGCUGUUCUGACGGUACCCAAAGAAUAAGCACCGGCUAACUUCGUG
rnacentral:rRNA from 1 species